GUAACUAUAACGGUCCUAAGGUAGCGAAAUUCCUUGUCGGGUAAGUUCCGACCCGCACGAAAGGCGUAACGAUUUGGGCACUGUCUCAACGAGAGACUCGGUGAAAUCAUAGUACCUGUGAAGAUGCAGGUUACCCGCGACAGGACGGAAAGACCCCGUGGAGCUUUACUGUAGCCUGAUAUUGAAAUUCGGCACAGCUUGUACAGGAUAGGUAGGAGCCUUUGAAACGUGAGCGCUAGCUUACGUGGAGGCGCUGGUGGGAUACUACCCUAGCUGUGUUGGCUUUCUAACCCGCACCACUUAUCGUGGUGGGAGACAGUGUCAGGCGGGCAGUUUGACUGGGGCGGUCGCCUCCUAAAAGGUAACGGAGGCGCUCAAAGGUUCCCUCAGAAUGGUUGGAAAUCAUUCAUAGAGUGUAAAGGCAUAAGGGAGCUUGACUGCGAGACCUACAAGUCGAGCAGGGUCGAAAGACGGACUUAGUGAUCCGGUGGUUCCGCAUGGAAGGGCCAUCGCUCAACGGAUAAAAGCUACCCCGGGGAUAACAGGCUUAUCUCCCCCAAGAGUUCACAUCGACGGGGAGGUUUGGCACCUCGAUGUCGGCUCAUCGCAUCCUGGGGCUGUAGUCGGUCCCAAGGGUUGGGCUGUUCGCCCAUUAAAGCGGUACGCGAGCUGGGUUCAGAACGUCGUGAGACAGUUCGGUCCCUAUCCGUCGUGGGCGUAGGAAAUUUGAGAGGAGCUGUCCUUAGUACGAGAGGACCGGGAUGGACAUACCUCUGGUGUACCAGUUGUCGUGCCAACGGCAUAGCUGGGUAGCUAUGUGUGGACGGGAUAAGUGCUGAAAGCAUCUAAGCAUGAAGCCCCCCUCAAGAUGAGAUUUCCCAACUUCGGUUAUAAGAUCCC
rnacentral:rRNA from 1 species